rnacentral:rRNA from 1 species
CAUGCAAGUCGAACGAGCGAGAGAGAGCUUGCUUUCUCGAGCGAGUGGCGAACGGGUGAGUAACGCGUGAGGAACCUGCCUCAAAGAGGGGGACAACAGUUGGAAACGACUGCUAAUACCGCAUAAGCCCACGACCCGGCAUCGGGAAGAGGGAAAAGGAGCAAUCCGCUUUGAGAUGGCCUCGCGUCCGAUUAGCUAGUUGGUGAGGUAACGGCCCACCAAGGCGACGAUCGGUAGCCGGACUGAGAGGUUGAACGGCCACAUUGGGACUGAGACACGGCCCAGACUCCUACGGGAGGCAGCAGUGGGGAAUAUUGCACAAUGGGGGAAACCCUGAUGCAGCGACGCCGCGUGGAGGAAGAAGGUCUUCGGAUUGUAAACUCCUGUUGUUGAGGAAGAUAAUGACGGUACUCAACAAGGAAGUGACGGCUAACUACGUGCCAGCAGCCGCGGUAAAACGUAGGUCACAAGCGUUGUCCGGAAUUACUGGGUGUAAAGGGAGCGCAGGCGGGAAGACAAGUUGGAAGUGAAAUCCAUGGGCUCAACCCAUGAACUGCUUUCAAAACUGUUUUUCUUGAGUAGUGCAGAGGUAGGCGGAAUUCCCGGUGUAGCGGUGGAAUGCGUAGAUAUCGGGAGGAACACCAGUGGCGAAGGCGGCCUACUGGGCACCAACUGACGCUGAGGCUCGAAAGUGUGGGUAGCAAACAGGAUUAGAUACCCUGGUAGUCCACACCGUAAACGAUGAUUACUAGGUGUUGGAGGAUUGACCCCUUCAGUGCCGCAGUUAACACAAUAAGUAAUCCACCUGGGGAGUGCGACCGCAAGG